UGAUUAUGACGUGCUUGCACUGAAUGAGAUUUUAACACGAAGUGAGUGGCGGACGGGUGAGUAACACGUGGGUAACCUGCCCAGAAGCAGGGGAUAACACCUGGAAACAGAUGCUAAUACCGUAUAACAGAGAAAACCGCCUGGUUUUCUUUUAAAAGAUGGCUCUGCUAUCACUUCUGGAUGGACCCGCGGCGCAUUAGCUAGUUGGUGAGGUAACGGCUCACCAAGGCGAUGAUGCGUAGCCGACCUGAGAGGGUAAUCGGCCACAUUGGGACUGAGACACGGCCCAGACUCCUACGGGAGGCAGCAGUAGGGAAUCUUCCACAAUGGACGCAAGUCUGAUGGAGCAACGCCGCGUGAGUGAAGAAGGGUUUCGGCUCGUAAAGCUCUGUUGUUAAAGAAGAACGUGGGUGAGAGUAACUGUUCACCCAGUGACGGUAUUUAACCAGAAAGCCACGGCUAACUACGUGCCAGCAGCCGCGGUAAUACGUAGGUGGCAAGCGUUAUCCGGAUUUAUUGGGCGUAAAGCGAGCGCAGGCGGUCUUUUAAGUCUAAUGUGAAAGCCUUCGGCUCAACCGAAGAAGUGCAUUGGAAACUGGGAGACUUGAGUGCAGAAGAGGACAGUGGAACUCCAUGUGUAGCGGUGAAAUGCGUAGAUAUAUGGAAGAACACCAGUGGCGAAGGCGGCUGUCUGGUCUGUAACUGACGCUGAGGCUCGAAAGCAUGGGUAGCGAACAGGAUUAGAUACCCUGGUAGUCCAUGCCGUAAACGAUGAUUACU
rnacentral:rRNA from 1 species